rnacentral:rRNA from 1 species
UACGAAGGGGGCUAGCGUUGCUCGGAAUCACUGGGCGUAAAGGGUGCGUAGGCGGCGCGGUAAGUCGGGUGUGAAAUCUCGGAGCUUAACUCCGAAACUGCAUUCGAUACUGCCGUGCUUGAGGACUGGAGAGGAGACUGGAAUUUACGGUGUAGAGGUGAAAUUCGUAGAUAUUGGGAGGAACAUCGGUGGCGAAGGCGGCCAUCUGGGAAGUAACUGACGCUGAGACGCGAAAGCGUGGGUAGCAAACAGG